UACGUAGGGUGCAAGCGUUGUCCGGAAUUAUUGGGCGUAAAGAGCUCGUAGGCGGUCUGUCGCGUCUGCUGUGAAAAUCCAGGGCUCAACCCUGGACCUGCAGUGGGUACGGGCAGACUAGAGUGCGGUAGGGGAGAUCGGAAUUCCUGGUGUAGCGGUGAAAUGCGCAGAUAUCGGGAGGAACACCGGUGGCGAAGGCGGCUCACUGGACCGGUUCUGACGCUGAGGCGCGAAAGCGUGGGGAGCAAACGGG
rnacentral:rRNA from 1 species